GGUUCAUUUUCCUGAGGUGGAGAAAGUGGACUGGGUCAAUAAGGUUCUGGAACAGGCUUGGCCCUUUUUUGGAAUGUUUAUGGAGAAAUUAUUAAGAACCAACAUUCAGCCUGCUGUCCGACAGUCCAACCCCGCUCUGAAGACCUUCACCUUCACCAAGGUGCACUUUGGACACGUGCCCCUGAGGAUCACUGGGAUGAAGGCUUACACACAUGAGGUGGAUCAGAGAGAGGUGAUUCUGGAUCUUAAUAUCAG